GCUAUCCUGAAGCCACUGUCCCAGGCCCACAGUGUGCUGAGAGUCAUGGUUUCAUGGGCAGAAGGAGAAACGCCAGCUAAUUGGUUCUGCCCACAGUGAUCGACCACAGAACACCCGGUAAGACAGAUAUGAUAAAAAAGCAGCGGAAGACCAGUGAGAAGACAGCUGCAGUGGUAAGUGGUGCUCGGAUGUGACAAGCAGUGGUGAGGAGUGAUGAGCAGCAGAUCUGCAGUGGAGAAGUCGAUGAUGAAGUGACUGAAGGAGAUGACAAAUACCAUGAGGGCAUUGCACCGCUGGACACCCAGUGCCUGGCCUAUCCAGGGGUUCAGUUAGUAACUCUCAAUGCUCACCUAGAUCUUGAAGGACAGACACCAGCAGCAGAAAACAUCGUUACCCCCAAAUGGUCUGUAACUAUUUGUCAAUAGUAAUGCUUUAACUCAUGAUGAAAGCUUUCUCUAUAUACAUCCAAAGCAUUUUACUUUGUGUUUGG
rnacentral:lncRNA from 1 species